UACGUAGGGGGCAAGCGUUGUCCGGAUUUAUUGGGCGUAAAGAGCGCGCAGGCGGUUCGUUAAGUCCGAGGUGAAAUCUCCCGGCUCAACUGGGAUAGGUCUUCGGAUACUGGCGGACUUGAGGAGAGCAGAGGUGAGUGGAAUUCUCGGUGUAGUGGUGAAAUGCGUAGAUAUCGAGAGGAACACCAGUGGCGAAGGCGGCUCACUGGGCUCCACCUGACGCUGAGGCGCGAAAGCGUGGGGAGCGAACCGG
rnacentral:rRNA from 1 species